UACGAAGGGUGCAAACGUUGCUCGGAAUCAUUGGGCGUAAAGAGCGUGUAGGCGGCCUUUUAAGUCCUGCGUGAAAUCCUGCGGCUCAACCGCAGACGGUCGUGGGAAACUGGAAGGCUAGAGUGCGGGAGAGGAGAGUGGAAUUCCCGGUGUAGCGGUGAAAUGCGCAGAUAUCGGGAAGAACACCCGUGGCGAAGGCGGCUCUCUGGAACGCAACUGACGCUGAGACGCGAAAGCGUGGGGAGCAAACAGG
rnacentral:rRNA from 1 species